GAUGAACGCUGGCGGCGUGCCUAAUACAUGCAAGUCGAGCGAACGGACGAGAAGCUUGCUUCUCUGAUGUUAGCGGCGGACGGGUGAGUAACACGUGGAUAACCUACCUAUAGGACUGGGAUAACUUCGGGAAACCGGAGCUAAUACCGGAUAAUAUUUUGAACCGCAUGGUUCAAAAGUGAAAGACGGUCUUGCUGUCACUUAUAGACGGAUCCGCGCUGCAUUAGCUAGUUGGUAAGGUAACGGCUUACCAAGGCAACGAUGCAUAGCCGACCUGAGAGGGUGAUCGGCCACACUGGAACUGAGACACGGUCCAGACUCCUACGGGAGGCAGCAGUAGGGAAUCUUCCGCAAUGGGCGAAAGCCUGACGGAGCAACGCCGCGUGAGUGAUGAAGGUCUUCGGAUCGUAAAACUCUGUUAUUAGGGAAGAACAUAUGUGUAAGUAACUGUGCACAUCUUGACGGUAACUAAUCAGAAAGCCACGGCUAACUACGUG
rnacentral:rRNA from 1 species